AUUUACAUAUGUGUGUGUGUGACUGCUGCACACACUUUAAGAGCUGUAGUGCUGAUCAGAGUGUGUUCAGUCCUUUCAGAGCCACUGACACGCAGCACAAUGAUGAUGGUACUGAUUCUACUGCUGGGGACACUGGGACUCCUCGCUCACCAGUCCUUUGGGGAAAUCGUCCUGACUCAGUCUCCAGGAUCUCAGACUGUUUCUCCAGGAGACACUGUUACUCUCAGCUGUACAACCAGUCAGAGUGUUAGCAGUAACCUCGCCUGGUACCUGCAGAAACCUGGAGAAGCUCCUAAACUCCUGAUCUAUGCUGCAACUUCUCGUCAGUCUGGGAUUCCAGAUCGUUUCAGUGGCAGUGGAUCUGGUACACAGUUUAGUCUAAAAAUCUCUGGAGUUCAGGCUGAAGAUGCAGGAGAUUAUUACUGUCAGCAGGGUUACAGCUAUCCGUACACACAGUGUUAUAGCGCCGUACAAAAACCUCCCUCAGCUGUAGAGGAAGUGCUCUGAGUCAGAAACACACACUGAUCCGCUCCAAACCAGCAGUCACAUAUUGCAAGGUUUGAACUAUAUUGAAACAGAGUGAAAUAAGUCUGUGAUUAUUUACUAUAUUUCCUUUCUUAUUGGUCUUUACAAUCAGGAUGAUGGUCAGAUGGUCAUUAAUAAACUUCUGCUCAUUGGAAAUCAGUUGAAUUUUAAUUAAUUCCCAUCUUGGUGUAGUGCUACUGAGCUCAAACAUUUCCAACAACAUUGAUCUGAUAUAAUAUUUUAUUGGUUUGUUUGGGAAAUAUUUUAAUAUAGAUAGUAGAAUAAUAGAGAGAAACUCAUCUCAAAUGUUUGAUUGAGAGUUUCCACCC